rnacentral:rRNA from 1 species
CAGUCGCCGCGGGAACACGUAGGGUGCAAGCGUUAAUCGGAAUUACUGGGCGUAAAGCGUGCGCAGGCGGUUUUGUAAGACAGAGGUGAAAUCCCCGGGCUCAACCUGGGAACUGCCUUUGUGACUGCAAGGCUAGAGUACGGCAGAGGGGGAUGGAAUUCCGCGUGUAGCAGUGAAAUGCGUAGAUAUGCGGAGGAACACCGAUGGCGAAGGCAAUCCCCUGGGCCUGUACUGACGCUCAUGCACGAAAGCAUGGGGAGCAAACAGGAUUAGAUACCCCGAUAGUCCCUGUCUCUUAUAC